CAAAGAUGAGUCCCUAAUAAAUGC
rnacentral:piRNA from 1 species